rnacentral:rRNA from 1 species
UACAGGGGGUGCAAACGUUGCUCGGAAUUAUUGGGCGUAAAGCGCGCGUAGGCGGCUACCUAAGUCGGAUGUGAAAGCCCCUGGCUUAACUGGGGAAGUGCACCCGAAACUGAGUAGCUAGAGUGCGAAAGAGGGUCGCGGAAUUCCCGGUGUAGAGGCGAAAUUCGUAGAUAUCGGGAGGAACACCGGUGGCGAAGGCGGCGACCUGGGUCGACACUGACGCUGAGGCGCGAAAGCGUGGGGAGCAAACAGG